rnacentral:lncRNA from 1 species
GCAGCACAGACGCUUCCACCCGGGACUCAGCUGACCGCACCAUUAUUGCCUGGGAUUUCCGGACCUCUGCCAAAAUCUCCAACCAGAUUUUCCACGAGAGGUUCACCUGCCCCAGCCUCGCCUUGCACCCGAGAGAGCCCGUGUUCCUGGCACAGACCAAUGGCAACUACCUGGCCCUUUUCUCCACUGUGUGGCCCUACCGGAUGAGCAGACGGCGGCGCUAUGAAGGGCACAAGGCUCAAGAAUGGCUGUUUUGGUGAAAAGAGUUGCAC